UCAAGCUCUGAUGCUGCUGGUUAAUAGGUUGGAAACCAUACAACAAAAAUAGACUUGGCUAAAAUGAGGUAUUUACUGACUUAUGUGUCAGAAAGGGAAGAAGUAAUUUUUUUUCUUGACCUAGAAAACUCAGUCCUUCACCCUUAAGAUCAAACUGUACAAAACACAAUGCACAGGGCGAUUUGUUUCUAAGUUAAAAGGUUUUAGCUUUACUGAUCCUUGAAGAUUUAAAAAUGUUAAUGAUUAUUUUUACAACACCCAGUUUUUGGAUAAUUUAUAAGUGAUUAUAUCUUUAAAGAAUACUUUCAUGACUCUGUGUCUGUGUGUGUCUGUGUGCCUUUCUUGAGGAGUCGCAAGUGUCAUAUUCCUCCAUUCCCCAUCCUAUUGGUGUGCUUAUUUAAUAACACACAGUCACAUAAGAGAUAGCAUGUGCACAUGAAGGCAGAGCUUCUUUGCUUUUCUCUGCCUUCUUGACUUGAGACUUGAGCCAAAGAAUAGCCAGUCUGCUAUAAUCCUGAACUUAGCAGAAGGUAAUUUAUAAAUCAGGCCCUAAAGAAAUAUGAAAAAUAUCAAAUCUCCUUUCUGUUUGGAAUGAAAUUACCAUUUUUAAAAAAUUCAGUUAGCUAGUUGCAAAAUCCAAAAUCUAGUUUCUUCUUGCAACCACCACAGCUUUUUUUUGUAAAAAAAGUAAAAUCACACUCCUCUAAAUCCUUCUAAAAAAAAAUGAGAGGAAGUGAAAAAGGAAACAUGGUUGUAUUUAUUUCCAUAUACUUUAUUGUUCUUUCAUAUAUUUCAUGUAGAAACAUAGAUACAUCUAUUCUACAAAUAGAUUUAUAUUACAGUACUAGCAUAUUGAAAGAAAAACCCAACCUGAUAUUUUUCUUUUUGUCAGUUUUCCUGAAGUGAAUGAGACUCUUUUCUGUUUAUUUAAUAAUCACAAAACUAAAUUAUACUGCUCUUUAACACCAAUGGUCUUUACUGAAAGACCUAAAGGCAAAACUCUGUCAUAUCUGUAGUGAUAUGGGUAGAAGUCCUGGAAAUCUCAAACACUGUCAGAAGCCUUUCAUUUCUAAAAAGUCUUUUGUGUUAUACACUCUUUUCAUUUUCUAGACUUCUACAAUACCUGUUAAUCUGCUGUAUAUAUUUUCAAGUUUGUAGGGAUAUCUGUUACCAUGUUACCAUGUAAUUAUGGUGUUUAACAGCAUUAAAAAAAUUGGACCUAAUCUCCUAGAGAUGUGCUUUGUGGUUUUAAAUAGUCCUAUUUAAAUACUUCUCUGUUCCAGAAAUAACUGUGAUCUUUAGAUUGCCUUCCUUAGGAAAUUCAGUCAUCCUGGGAAGUGGCAUUUGAUGCACUGUCAUGAGCUGCAGAUCAAACAGAAACUUCUCUCACUGUGAGGAAAAGGGAAUGAUUCUACCCUUGUAAGGGAAGGAGAAACUGAUGCAGUUUACUUGUAGAACUAUUUGUGAAGAGUGUUGCUUGUAUCCCCAUGGGAUGAUAUGAUCACACAUAUUAUAUUGUCUGCACUCUCAGGAAUCCCUGGCAUGAGGCUCCAAGGACAUUUUGGGAUAAAUUAUGAAAAACCAGCACAUUGCAAAUGAGGACUGUAUAGCAUUCAUGUGCACGUUUCUGACACCGUUGCUUGAAAAACUUGCAGUUUCUGCUGCAGAUAUAUUCAAAUCUUGAGACCAAGACAACCUGGAUAUUUUUGCAGCCAACUUUUUAAUCAAAAGUAGGAUGUUCUGGAAUUUCAGUGCACUUCAAGGAAUUGCAGAAGCAUAGACUGGAUAGUGCUGAAUUAAAGUGUCAGCUCUAUUGUCUUCUGAUCAAUACGAGGCCUUAAAGAACCCAGAGACACAGACAAAAAAAGAAAAGUACAUGAAGAACAAAACAGAUGUAAAUACAUUAAAUCUCUUGUUUGUAAGUGGCUUAAACUAGCCACCUUUUUAAUGGCUGUUCUUGCAGAUUGAAAUGAACCUUUUUUGGGUUCUGAUCCAGCAAGGUCCUGAAUUUAAUUAUUAUCUUCAAGCAACAGUCAAGUUCAAUGGGUCCAUGUUCAAAAUUACAGGACUGUGCUGAAUUUUAAGAGAUCUGAAUUUGGCUGAGGAUGAGCAAGCAGCUGUAGCCUUCAACCAUUCUUCUCGAGAAUUCUACAGGAGGUCUGAGCAAAAGAGAAUACCUGAUUAAUCACCCUGUCCCAAACCAGCCACAGGAAUUCAUUGCUUCUGGUGUGUCUGGGCUUGACAGAUGUCUGCCAGAUCAUUGUGCAUUACUGUUCGAACAUCUCGGAAAUUUUCAAGAUACAGAUGUAAGAAGCAACAUAAAAUGUCAAAGUCACACUUUUUUGUAAGAUACAGAAUAACCGAGAAAGUGACAUGAGACAAGAGCCCUCAAGAUGUUAAAAUUUUUCUUGAAUAUUUGACUUUUCCACAUGCUCAUAUCUCAACCGACAGCAUGAGACACUGCUUGAUAUUGGCUACACAGAAUAAACUUGCAAAGCAUAACAGCAAAGAUCCUUAUCUGACUUUAUGGGACCCAAACCUCAUUUUUAAAGAACUGGCUCUGUAGCCUAUCUACAUCUUGACAAAUGGUUAAAAUGAACCAGCUGCUGGUUUCAGAUACUUCUUUCCAUUCUUCAAUAAAUUGCACAGUUGCUGUUCAGAACCUUUAUGCAACCAACUGUAUUUUUUAAAGUGUAGACAGAAGACUGGUCUUGAUGUGCAGGAUGGGUCUGACUUUUGUAAUAAUGAAGGGAUCAAGAGCAGCGGCACCAGUAGCAGCUGAGCCAAGAGGGAGCUCGGCUGAGCCCAAAGGCACACAGGGGAGUGGUAGGAAAAUGGCAACCCCACAGCGCUUUUGUUCCCAGUGAUAAACACCUUUCUGGGGGUAAAACACCUCCUCUUUUUGUAAGGUUUUGCUGUUAAUGUUGCUGUUGUUAUUGUGCUUGUCUUAUCCUUGCUUUGUGCUUUCAAUAAAUUGUGAGCCCAACCCAUAUUAUCUGCUUUACUAGAAAGGGCGACAGAAGGGGAGUGGAUUAUUUGGAGUUUAAUUUCUGUCUGAUACU